rnacentral:rRNA from 1 species
CCUACGGGAGGCAGCAGUGGGGGAUAUUGCACAAUGGGCGAAAGCCUGAUGCAGCGACGCCGCGUGAGGGAAGACGGUCUUCGGAUUGUAAACCUCUGUCUUUGGGGAAGAAAAUGAAGGUACCCAAAGAGGAAGCUCCGGCCAACUACGUGCAAGCAGCCGCGGUACUACGUAGGGAGCAAGCGUUGUCCGGAAUUACUGGGUGUAAAGGGAGCGUCGGCGGGAUGGCAGGUAGAAUGUUAAAUCCAUCGGCUAAACCGGUGGCUGAGUUCGACACUGGCGUUCUUGAGUGAAGUAGAGGCAGGCGGAAUUCCUGGUGUAGCGGUGAAAUGCGUAGAUAUUAGGAGGAACACCAGUGGCGAAGGCGGCCUGCUGGGCUUUAACUGACGCUGAGGCUCGAAAGCGUGGGGAGCAAACAGGAUUAGAUACCCGGGUAGUC